UGGAGCAUGUGGUUUAAUUCGAUGCAACGCGAAGAACCUUACCUACUCUUGACAUCCAGAGAACUUUCAGAGAUGGAUUGGUGCCUUCGGGAACUCUGAGACAGGUGCUGCAUGGCUGUCGUCAGCUCGUGUUGUGAAAUGUUGGGUUAAGUCCCGCAACGAGCGCAACCUUAUCCUUUGUGCCAGCGGUUAGGCCGGGAACUCAAAGGAGACUGCCAGUGAUAAACUGGAGGAAGGUGGGGAUGACGUCAAGUCAUCAUGGCCCUUACGAGUAGGGCUACACACGUGCUACAAUGGCAUAUACAAAGAGAAGCGACCUCGCGAGAGCAAGCGGACCUCAUAAAGUAUGUCGUAGUCCGGAUUGGAGUCUGCAACUCGACUCCAUGAAGUCGGAAUCGCUAGUAAUCGUGGAUCAGAAUGCCACGGUGAAUACGUUCCCGGGCCUU
rnacentral:rRNA from 1 species